CAAAAUUCUUCAAUAUUUAUUUUGCCUAUAUUUCCUCGUGAACUUGUGCUUUAUUAAUCAUUGAGCUUCAACAUUAAAAAGAUCCGGGAUGUAAUUCCCUGCUUUUUGCCUCGUGAACUUGUGCUUUAUUAAUCAUUGAGCUUCAACAUUAAAAAGAUCCGGGAUGUAAUUCCCUGCUUUCUGGCGCACUUUUCUCAGUGUAGUCUGGUCUAGGAUAGGAAUGACGGGGAAAAUAUUGAUUUUCCUUCAGCAUAAUGUUGAUAAGCUUUCAUAGUCACACAAUUCUGUGUGUACUGAUUGGUAGGUGAUGGUUAUACACUGUUUUUUAAAGAUUGGAUUUUGAUCUACAGGGAUUGGGGGUAUGAUAUGGCAACUACUAUGCCAUUAUUGAUAUAUCUUAAUUGCUAAGUUUGUUUUUCAUUGUACUUCCAAGAUCAUCCCAUAACUCCAAGAAUUGGGGGAUGCUCGGGAACUCUCUGUUUGUACUCUAUUUUAUUGAGGUGCAAGUGUAUUGGGAUGGUUUGAUUUUGCAUGACACAUAAACUUUCUAGGUUUUGUUUGGUUUUGGCUUGGGAUACAACCUUCGAGGCAUACUUUGAGAUGGGGAUCGUAUUUCUUUUUAGUGUACUUUAUAAUCCUAAGAUUUCCUUUUCUUUUAAAUUUAGAUCAUGAAGAAAGGCAGCAUCUAUUGUGAUAGUGGCUAGAAACAAAAACUAUGAUCUCAAUAUAUUUAGGAUGUAAUGCUUUUUGCUCUCGUAUCUUAAUUAGUCAUCAGUGUAUAUGAGUUUACUGGUUGAAUGUGUAGUUGUCAAUGAGUUUAAUGAAUCUCUACCAAACAUGAGCAUAGUAUGGAUACUUGGGAAAAGUUAUGGGUACACGUGCAAAAUUAUUUUAUUGGGAAAUGUGUAGUUGUAAAGAAAAAAUGAGCAUAAAGAAUCUCCACCAAACAUGAGCAUAGUGUGGAUACCUGAAUGAAAAGUGAAAGCCGAUUCUUUUUCAAGGCUUAAGAGGAGUUGUGAAGAUAUAGGUUAUAAAUUUGUGAUUUCUUGAACGAAGUGCUGACAUCAAGGAUGUAUCAUAAUAGCGUUCUCAUCUUCGUAAUGAAUUUAUUAAAUUAUCACUUGAUUCCUGAUUUUUCAUUUGAUUACUCAGAAGUAAUUCCUACACUGGAUUCUUUUGAAGAAAAUACCGGCUGCAGUGAGAUUUGACCUUAUGCGAAGUGCUAAUAUAUUUACCUGUUAGUGUUACUUUUGUUGAAACUAACACUUCUCUUAUUUUUCUGGAUUGUGCAUGUGCCAACAGGACCAAUACUAUGUGGAAAAACAAUACUGAGAUCAACUAUUCUUUCUUAUUGCUUUCUCCACUUCCAAAAGGAUAAAAAGCACAUGGCACGUGCUCUAAGGAUGGCUGGUCUCAAUGUCUCUUCUACAGGGUCGCCCCGAAGUUCAAUGUCCUAGUUAAAGAAUAUGUCCGCCAAAUCCAGACAACGAGAAGAAUUGCACAGAAUGCAACUUCAGAAAUUGCUGAUAUGAAGGAGAAUAGCAGUCCUUGAAUCUCUAGGUAAUGGAAAUAUAUUAGUAAUUUUUGUUUCUUUGAACACGUUAUGAACAAAGUUGAUGAAUCUGCAAAUAGUGGAUUUUAGAACAAACUCUAUUGUCAAUAGACGAACCUACUCGAGAGUAUCGUGGGAGAUGGAAUCUUGUGCAUAUUACAGGUACUUUUCCUUGGACGAACA
rnacentral:lncRNA from 1 species